ensembl:rRNA 5S_rRNA 5S ribosomal RNA
GUCUAUGGCCACACCACCCCAAACUAGCCUGAUCUCAUCUGAUCUUGUAAGCUAAACAGGGGUGGGCCUGGUUAGUACUUAGAUGGGAGACUCCCUGGGAAUACCAGGUGCUGCAGGCU